rnacentral:ncRNA from 1 species
CUAUGAAAUGGAAUUUUCAUGGCAAAAGGAG